AUAAAGCACAUUGCGUACAAAUAACUUUGCUUUCUUUCCAGAAUCAAUCGUGCGCGGCAGAUAGUUUUCUAUAAUUCCUCGUUACCCAAUUAUUUGUUCUUGUUGGCAUAUCAAGCCGACAGGGACGUCGUUUGCCUCAUCACUUUUAAAAAGAAUAUUAUGCGAUCACUUUCUGCACUCAGCACGCGGGCCAAGCUGGGCCUCGGGUUUGGCCUGGUCGGGAUCCUGAUCAUCGUCCUGGCCAUCUUUGCGUGGCGUGAAUUAGGCAAUGUCGGUCAGGAGCUUACCGCGCAAAACACAGUGCGCACUAACCAGCUCGAGCGCCUCUACGAGUUGCGCGAAUCGCUCGCCCAGACCGGUCUUGCCGCGCGCAAUGCCUACAUUUUCCCGGACGCCACCGACGCCACGCGUGAACUCGACCUCCUGGACGAACAGAAAGCCCGUUAUCUCGCCGAGCUGCAAGCCCUGGAGCCACUGUUCGUGGGGAAUGCCGACUUCGCGAAGAUGCGCGAUGGACUGUUGCAGAUGGCGCAAGAGCUGAACCGCCCACGCCGUUACCGCGAUGCCGGGCAGAUGGCCGAGUACGGUGCCUUCCUCGUCAAUGAAUGCAGUCCAUUGCGCCGUCAAAACGUCCUCGAUAUCGAUCGGGUCAUCACCACCGUUCAGGAACAUGUCGAAGCCGGUACGGCCCAUGCGCAGGAGUCGAUCGCUUCCGCCAAGACCACGAUCAUCGUGGUCACGCUUGCCGCGGUCGCACUGAGCCUGGUGAUCGGCAGCGCGAUCACGGCACACCUGCUGCGCCAGCUGGGCGGCGAGCCGGUCGAAGUCAAUCGCAUCGCGUCGGCCAUUGCCGCGGGCGACCUCACCGUCGACGUCGCCGUGCGCCCCAACGACGAGGCCAGCGUCAUGCAUGCCAUCCGUGAAAUGCAGCUCAGUUUGCAAAACAUCGUUGCCCAGGUUCGCGGCGGCACCGACAUGAUCGCGACCGCUUCCAGUGAGAUCAGCGCCGGCAACGACGAUCUGUCGAUGCGCACCGAGGAACAGGCGAAUUCACUGGGUCGCACCGCGGACUCGAUGAAAGAGCUGACCGCUGUCGUCGAACAGAACACCGCCUAUGCCCGUCACGCCAACGCGCUCGCCGCAUCGGCCAGCGUAGUCGCAGCCAAAGGCGGCACCGUCGUCUCCGCCGUGGUCAAUACCAUGCAGGAUAUCAACGCCUCGGCCCGCAAGAUAUCGGACAUCACCAGCGUGAUCGACGCCAUCGCCUUCCAGACCAAUAUCCUGGCGUUGAAUGCUGCGGUCGAAGCGGCGCGCGCCGGCGAGCAGGGACGGGGCUUCGCCGUGGUCGCGAGCGAAGUGCGCAACCUGGCGCAGCGCUCGGCCACUGCCGCCAAGGAGAUCUCGGCAUUGAUCGGCGAAUCGGUCGCCAAGGUCGAUGCGGGUUCGAAGCUGGUGGAGCAGGCUGGCACCACGAUGGACGACAUCGUGACCAGCGUGAAGGAAGUCAGCGGCAUCAUCGCUGAGAUUACGACCGCGAGCGAAGCCCAGCAUGCCGGUAUCCAGCAAGUGAACCAUGCGGUGGGUCAAAUGGACGAGGCAACCCAGCAGAACGCUGCGCUGGUCGAGCAAGCCGCAGCUUCCGCCGCGGCACUCAAGGAACAGGCAGCGAUGCUGUUGCGCACGGUGCGCGUGUUCCGCAUUGGCGCCGAGGGCAGCCCGCUGCGGAUCGCGGGCUGACUUUCCUACCUAUCAGGCGCCGCUCAGUCGGCGCUGUCGUUCAGGCUCUUGCGCAGGUUUACCAACUGGUCGCGCAAAGCGGACGCCUCAUCGACCGAGCACUGGGUCGCACACAAUACCGCCGGCAUCACGCUGGCGGCUUCUUUCCUCAACGUGUUGCCCUCUUCGGUCAGGCUGAUGAUCACCUGGCGUUCAUCGCUGCGCGCGCGGUUACGCUGGACCAGUCCCUGGGCUUCCAUACGCUUGAGCAAAGGUGUCAAGGUCGCGGAAUCCAGGAACAGGCGCUCGCCGAUGUCGGACACGGUCAGCUGAUCUUGUUCCCACAACACCAUCAUCACGAGAUACUGCGGGUAGGUGAGCCCGAGCUUUGGCAACAAACCGCGGUAGACCCGCAUCAUCGCCAGGGAGGUCGAGUACAAGGCGAAGCACAGCUGCUCGUCGAGCAUGGGCGUCGCAGGGGAGGUGGAAGUGUUCGCAUUCAUGUUUCCAAUAUAGGUCGCACACUAGAUAAUUGCAAGCGAUGGUCCGCAAGAUCCGAGAUGCCAGCACCUCUACAUUGUAAUGAGUGCGAGUACGUACUUUUUUGCAUCUCUGCGCGAGAGGACGACAAUCAUGAGUCCCCUGUAUUACCAGCAGCAGGCGCGAGUGCCGGAGGCGCCUCGUCCUUGCAGGGCGCCGAGCAGCUGCGCAGUGUGGCGCCAUCGCCAUGAGUGCUCACUGCAGAACAAUAUUAUUGCUGAGUACUUGCGCGACCGGGUAGGGCUUUGCUAUAGUUCGCCUCCGCUUCGGCACUGACCGAAAAUGUUAACGUAAUCAAGUGGUUACGAUGGCAAGGUCGGCAGAGAAAUCUGAGACGAAGCGAAAUGAGGGGUUGACGAAAAACGAAAAACACUUCAUACUCUCUUUCCUCUGCUGCUGACGAACAAAACGAUUCGAAGCAAACAGCAGAUGAUGCAGUACCGAAUAAAGUUCUUUAAAAAUUAACAGUCGAUAAGUGUGGGCGUUUGAUGAAGGUGCCAGCUGACUUGUUCAGCUGCAUACUUAAAAUAUCAAAUGUUCGCACAAAGUAUUAA
rnacentral:rRNA from 1 species